rnacentral:piRNA from 1 species
UGAUCCUUCUUGAUUAUGGGAACCAUC